CCUACGGGCGGCAGCAGUGAGGAAUAUUGGUCAAUGGACGAGAGUCUGAACCAGCCAAGUAGCGUGAAGGAUGACUGCCCUAUGGGUUGUAAACUUCUUUUAUAUGGGAAUAAAAUGUUCCACGUGUGGGAUUUUGUAUGUACCAUAUGAAUAAGGAUCGGCUAACUCCGUGCCAGCAGCCGCGGUAAUACGGAGGAUCCGAGCGUUAUCCGGAUUUAUUGGGUUUAAAGGGAGCGUAGGUGGAUUGUUAAGUCAGUUGUGAAAGUUUGCGGCUCAACCGUAAAAUUGCAGUUGAUACUGGCAGUCUUGAGUACAGUAGAGGUGGGCGGAAUUCGUGGUGUAGCGGUGAAAUGCUUAGAUAUCACGAAGAACUCCGAUUGCGAAGGCAGUUCACUGGACUGCAACUGACACUGAGGCUCGAAAGUGUGGGUAUCAAACAGGAUUAGAUACCCGUGUAGUC
rnacentral:rRNA from 1 species